GAUGAACGCUGGCGGCGUGCCUAAUACAUGCAAGUCGAACGAACAGAUGAGGAUUUUGCUCCUCUUUCGUUAUCGUCGGACGGGUGAGUGACACGUGGCUAACCUAUCUAUUAGACUGGGCUUGCGUCUGGACCCGGGAGCUAAUACCUGAUAAUAUAUUGAACCGCAUGGUUCAAUAGUUAGAGGCGGUUUUGCUUUCACUGAUAGAUGGAUCCGCGCCGCAUUAGCUAGUUGGUAAGGUAACGGCAUACCAAGGCAACGAUGCGGAGCGGACCUGAGAGGGAGAUCGGCGACACGGGAACUGAGACAGGGUCCAGACUCCUACGGGAGGCAGAAGUAGGGAAUGUGACGCAAUGGGCGAAAGCGUGAGGGAGCAGCGCCGCGUGAGUGAGGAAGGUCUUCGGAUCGGAGAACUAUGCUAUUAGGGAAGAACAAAUGUGUAAGUAACUAGGAACGUCGUGACGGUACCGAAAGAGAAAGCAACGGCUAACUACGUG
rnacentral:rRNA from 1 species